UAGCAGCUAAAGCAGCUAAAACUUUUACCAGUUUUUUACUUCUCUUCUUUAGGAGGAAAUGUCUGAUACAGCUUUGAGGCUAGCCCUGUCUUAAGCAGGGAUCAGCUUUGGAUGAUCUCCAACACUCCUUACAUCCUGAUUUGCUCUAUGACUCUAAGCUAUGUGUAGCAGAAAUGCUAAGUACAGCUUAAACCAGUGAUUGAGCACCUGGAGGGAAGGCAGGGCCAACCCAGGGGAGCUCAGCUGCAUGCAAUGUACCUGAGUGACCAGAAGGGGUGGAGCCAGGAUCCACCCUUUCCCAGAUCUCAUUUAAAGGUUGGCAGUGGAGAGAAGGAUGCUUUGCUAGCGAUUCCUGCCUACCUGAGGCCUUCUGAAGGUAGCCUGAUGAAGACCUUAAAGAUAAAGGCCAACCAUGGAGGCAGGGGAUACUUAAAAACACGUGAGAUGAAGUAGAUCCUGGUUUGCCCGCAAAACUUGUGUUUUCCACACGAGAAGAAUGACAGCUUCAACAUACAAUAAACCGUGUAU